rnacentral:rRNA from 1 species
UGACGAAAAGUAUUUUCUUAAGUUUAAAAUAGUAAUUUGAAAUUCAGAUGAAAAUAUUUGAAUGACAUUAGGGGACGAUAAGACCCUAAAAGCUUUAUUUUAAGUAAACUAGGUGUUUUAUUUUAAAUCAAUAGAUAAAUGAAGAAAUUAGCUGGGGUAGUUGGCUUAUGUAAACUAAGUUAUGUAACACAUAGAGUAUGGCGUUUGGUCCUUUAUAUGCGGAAAAUUAGACGAGUUACUUUAGGGAUAACAGCGUAAUAUUUUUGGAGAGAUCUUAUCUAUAAAAAUGAUUGCGACCUCGAUGUUGAAUUAAAAUAUCUUUGUGAGGCAAUAAGUACAAAAGAGGGUUUGUUCAACCUUUAAAUUUUUACAUGAAUU